AGACGAACCGUACGAACGUUAUUCGGAAUUACUGGGCUUAAAGGGUGCGUAGGCUGCGCGGAAAGUUGGGUGUGAAAGCCCUCAGCUCAACUGAGGAAUUGCAUCCAAAACUGCCGUGCUUGAGGGAGACAGAGGUGAGCGGAACUCAAGGUGGAGCGGUGAAAUGCGUUGAUAUCUUGAGGAACACCGGUGGCGAAAGCGGCUCACUGGGUCUCUUCUGACGCUGAGGCACGAAAGCUAAGGUAGCAAACGGGAUUAGAAACCCCGGUAGUCC
rnacentral:rRNA from 1 species